rnacentral:rRNA from 1 species
AUGUGGAUGGCGGGGCGGUGGUGGGCUUCGGCUGCGGCGACGGUUCUUCGCUGGAUGUUGGUGGCCAUGGUGAUGUUCGUCCUCGACCCCGAUCUACUCCGAUCUGUAUCGGAUCCGGCCCUUGGUGGCUUCGGCCACCGUUCAUGGGUGCUGGCCUUGCAGAUCCGGUGGCUGGAAGGGUUCCGGGGGAAUCUCUUGGCCGGCGUGGCGGCCACUCCGAUGGCAGUGCCUUUGGGUAUUGUUUUCCUCGUUGGAGGCUUCGGAGAGGACCUCCUUCCUUCUACCCCUCCCAGGAGCUCAGGUGAAAAUCUCAGACCCCCCUGUUCCAAGCAACGACGACACCACGGUAGCGUGCUCCUUCCUGAAGGCGUUGCUCGGGGGCUGCUCAAGCGGCGGUGGAAGUGGUGGCGGUUCGGCGUCGACACAUGCAUUCUGGUCAGCUUCAUCCUAGAGGUUGCGGCGACGUAG